rnacentral:rRNA from 1 species
GCGUACCAUUAGCUAGUUGGUAGGGUAAUGGCCUACCAAGGCUACGAUGGUUAGCUGAUCUGAGAGGAUGAUCAGCCACACUGGAACUGAAACACGGUCCAGACUUCUACGGAAGGCAGCAGUGGGGAAUCUUGCGCAAUGGGGGAAACCCUGACGCAGCAACGCCGCGUGGGUGAAGAAGGCCUUCGGGUCGUAAAGCCCUGUCGAAGGGAACGAAACGUAUGGGUGUGAACAAUGCCCGUAUUUGACAGUACCCUUAAAGGAAGCACCGGCUAACCACGUGCCAGCAGCCGCGGUAAUACGUGGGGUGCAAGCGUUGUUCGGAAUUACUGGGCGUAAAGCGCGUGUAGGCGGCCAAGCGGGUCAGGUGUGAAAGCCCUCGGCUUAACUGAGGAAGUGCGCCUGAAACUAUUUGGCUUGAGUACGGGAGAGGAGGGUGGAAUUCCCAGUGUAGAGGUGAAAUUCGUAGAUAUUGGGAGGAACACCAGAGGCGAAAGCGGCUCUCUGGACCGUAACUGACGCUAAGACGCGAAAGCGUGGGGAUCAAACAGGAUUAGAUACCCUGGUAGUCCACGCCGUAAACGAUGGGUACUAGUUGUUGUGAGCUUAACACUCGCAGUGACGACGCUAACGCAUUAAGUACCCCGCCUGGGGAGUACGGCCGCAAGGUUAAAACUCAAAGGAAUUGACGGGGGCCCGCACAAGCGGUGGAGCAUGUGGUUCAAUUCGACGCAACGCGAAAAACCUUACCUAGGCUUGACAUCUGGAGAAUUCCCUUGAAAGAGGGAAGUGCUCGCAAGAGAGCUCCAAGACAGGUGCUGCAUGGCUGUCGUCAGCUCGUGUAGUGAGAUGUUGGGUUAAGUCCCGCAACGAGC